AGGCAGCAGGCGCGCAAUUACCCAAUCCUGACUCAGGGAGGUAGUGACAAGAAAUAACAAUAAACCGGCUUAUGCCGGUUUAAUUGGAAUGAGUACAAUUUAAACAUCUUAACGAGGAACAAUUGGAGGGCAAGUCUGGUGCCAGCAGCCGCGGUAAUUCCAGCUCCAAUAGCGUAUACUAAAGUUGUUGCAGUUAAAAAGCUCGUAGUUGGAUUUCUGUGGGGACGGAGCGGCCGGCCGCACAUCGCGGUUCGAGCUAGCGCUUUCCCUACAUCCUGCCGCGAACCGUGCUACCAUUAAUUUGGUGGCGCUGGGGAUCGGCUCGAUUACUUUGAGAAAAAUAGAGUGUUCAAAGCAGGCCACAUGCCUUGAAUAAGUUAGCAUGGAAUAAUAACUAAGGACUUCGGUUCUAUUUUGUUGGUGUUCGGGACUGAAGUAAUGAUUGAUAGGGACAGUUGGGGCGGUCUGUAUUCCAAAGCGAGAGGUGAAAUUCUUAGACCUUCGGAAGACAAACAGCUGCGAAAGCGUUCCGCAAGGAUGUUCCCUUUGAUCAAGAACGAAAGUUGGGGGAUCGAAGACGAUCAGAUACCGUCGUAGUCUCAACUAUAAACUAUACCAGCUAGGGAUCGGCCAACGUUAUUUCAAACCGACUUGGUCGGCACCUUAUGAGAAAUCAAAGCAUCUGGGUUCCGGGGGGAGUAUGGUCGCAAGGCUGAAACUUAAAGGAAUUGACGGAAGGGCACCACCAGCCGUGGAGCCUGUGGCUUAAUUUGACUCAACACGGGAAAACUUACCAGGUCCAGACAUAGUAAGGAUUGACAGAUUGAUAGCUCUUUCUUGAUUCUGUGGGUGGUGGUGCAUGGCCGUUCUUAGUUGGUGGAGUGAUUUGUCUGGUUAAUUCCGUUAACGAACGAGACCCCAGCCUGCUAAAUAGCGCGCGUGAGCUUUGCUCGCGGCGAGCUUCUUAGAGGGACUAUGAUGCGCGAUAGCACAUGGAAGUUUGGGGCAAUAACAGGUCUGUGAUGCCCUUAGAUGUUCUGGGCCGCACACGGGCUACACUGGCGCCUGCAACGAGCAUAUCAGCUGGUCCGAGAGGGUCUUGGCUAAUCUUUUGAACCGGCGCCGUGCUUGGGAUUGACCUUUGCAAUUGUUGGUCAUGCAACGAGGAAUGCCUUGUAAACGCGAGUCAUCAGCUCGCAUUGAAUACGUCCCUGCCCUUUGUACACACCGCCCGUCGCUCCUACCGAUGAAUGUUCCGAUGAAAUUUUCGGAGAGCACCUGUGAACUUGGCUCUGCCUUGCGAACGGGAGGCUCAAAGUCACUUAAAUCUGAACAUUAAG
rnacentral:rRNA from 1 species